UUGUGUACCGGUGAGAUAUAGUGUUGUAUUACGAAUUACAUUAAAAUGUCGCAACAACGAAAACGAAAACAUACUACCUACUUUAGUUGAAAAACUAGAAAUUUUAAAUAAAAUAGAAAAUGGUGACAAGUUAGUAAACCUCGCCAACGAAUUUGGAGUAGGUCGUGCUACAAUAUAUUAUGAUAUAAGAAAAAAUAGCGAAAAGAUAAGGUCUUUUUUUCAAAAAUAACGAAAGCUUGAAAAGUAUGCGCAAAACAUUAAAAACUGGUGAGUUUCCUGGAGUUGAAGAUGCCUGGUACGUUUUUGCAAGAACGUAAUCAACAUACACCUAUUUCGGGCGAAAUUUUGAAAGAGAAAGUUAAGUAUUUUUACAAAAAAAUCACACACAAAGAAGAUUUUCAAGCUAGUGACGGCUGGCUAAAUAAAUUUAAAAAUCGUUUUGGUUUGAGAUUAUUGAGUAUGAGAAAAAAAAUAAUGCACUCAUCAUGGAAUAAACAACAUAAAUAAUUGUUUAAUCUACUAUUUAUUGAUACAGAUAAGGGAUAACUGAUAACAACAAAAAAUGAUAGUGAAUACCAGUGAUCUGGUGAUCGGAAACGGAUAUAUUAUUCUUCUCAUCAUAGCUCUCUACAUCGUGGAUAGGUAGUACUAAUAAUAUCUUAGUUCGUGUCAGUUUUCGCAAGUGUUUUGGUUUUUGGCUUUUUCUGUUGGAAAUUGACACAAUUGAUUGAUUCAUUAGUUGGAAUACAAAAUAUUUUAAAUAGGUACAUUAGGUUCACUAUGGUCAACAAAUGUGAAGUUAAGGGUUGUAGGACAAAUGCUAUCAAAGGGUCGAAAGUGUUUCCUAAAGGUGAUAUUUGCCGUUUAUGGGUAAAUGCUGUGCAACAAUAUCAACUAAAUUUUUUGCCAAGUCAACAGUCAAUUAUAUGUAGUAAGUACAGACUGCAAACCUAGUAUUGUUAGCGGAAAAUAGAUGCUAAACUAGUUGGCUGUACCUAAUUUAACUAUGGCAACUAAUAUAGAAUCUGUACAGUCCAUGGAUAUAUACAACAACUAUAUAUCUAUGGUACAGUCUGAAGUUUCUGUUGAAGAAAUUGAAGUUAUUAUGAUUUAUGGAUGAUGUAUUAUCUGAAAAUUCUGGAUCAUGCUUAUUUCCAUCAGUAAAAUCUGAAGUUUCUGACGAAGAAAUUUAAGUUUUUAUGGAUAAUGUAUUAUGUUUUCAAAAAUCUUCAUCAGUGUUGUUCGAUGAACCAAAUGAAGAAAACAAUGUUCCAUUACCAAAAACUCUGACAAAAAAAUCAAAAUUUCUGCAUUUAAUACCAAGCACUUUGCUGACUUUAUAUACUCAAGAAUUAUUACGUACCCAUAUAAAUUGACAGGUUUGGAAUGCUUGCAAACAACAAUUCGGAUAAUUCAAUCAAAUUUAAGAAGAAUGAAUAUGGAUCUUCCUCGGAGGAACUUACAACCAUUCGCAGCUGUGAUAUAGAGAAAGUACGCCGCAGCCGCAACCUCAAACCCAACUUAGACCAAAACUAGCGUCACUCAAGUGGCAGCUUGGACGACGGAAACAAAGAAACUAAGUUUUAUUUUGAGUAUGUUCGCGGCCCACUACGCGAUCUAUUGUCAAGGGGCACGUUGCUGCAAAUGGUCGAUGCGGCGUAUAUUGAUAUUAUUGCAAUUUGGAAUAUGCUCCCAAUACAUUCAAUGACAAUUGAAUUUGGGGCAGUCAUUUGUGUUGCCCUACAAAUACGCUUCUGUGGAUUUAUUUUCUUAUUAAUUUUCUUAUUUUCUUAUUUAUUUUUCUACGGAAUAACAAUCUAGUAUUAUACUAUAAUUAUGCUAGCAAUUUUUAAAUAAAAAAUGACUUAUUUUUGU